CGCCAGCAGCCGCGGUAAUACGGAGGGUGCAAGCGUUAAGCGGAUUUAUUGGGCGUUAAGGGUGCGUAGGCGGGACUGUAAGUCAGAGGUGAAAUUCCGGAGCUCAACUCCGGAGCUGCCUCUGAGUACUGCAGACCUAGAGAUGUAGCGGAGAAAAGAGAAUUCAAUGUGGAGCGGUGGAAUGCGGUGAUAUAUUGAGGAAUACCAGAAGCGAAGGCGCUUUUCUAGCUACUAUCUGACGCUGAGGCACGAAAGCGUGGGGCGCGAACAGGAUUAGAUA
rnacentral:rRNA from 1 species